rnacentral:rRNA from 1 species
CUCGGCGGCACUAGCGCGGUGGUCCCACCUGACCCCAUGCCGAACUCAGAAGUGAAACGCCGUAGCGCCGAUGGUAGUGUGGGGUCUCCCCAUGUGAGAGUAGGGAACUGCCAGGC